ensembl:lncRNA
AACAGGUCAAGACAGGCAGACUUAGGGUCAGGCAGAGAUCAGUAAUCCAGAGGUGGAGCAAAGGUACCGGACAGCAGGCAGGCUCAAGGUCAGGCAGAGUUCAGUAAUCCAGAGGUGGAGCAAAGGUACCAGACAGCAGGCAGGCUCAGGGUCAGGCAGAGUUCAGUAAUCCAGAGGUGGAGCAAAGGUACCGGACAGCAGGCAGGCUCAGGGUCAGGCAGAGUUCAGUAAUUCAGAGGGGGCAAAGGUACAGGACAGAAGGCAGGCUCAGGCUCAGGGACAGGCAGAGAUCAGUAAUCCAGAGUUGGAGCAAAGGUACAGGACAGAAGGCAGGCUCAGGGACAGGCAGAGAUCAGUAAUCCAGAGGUGGAGCAAAGGUACAGGACAGAAGGCAGGCUCAGGGACAGGCAGAGAUCAGUAAUCCAGAGGUGGAGCAAAGGUACAGGACAGAAGGCAGGCUCAGGGACAGGCAGAGAUCAGUAAUCCAGAGUUGGCAAGGUACAGGACAGAAGGCAAGCAGGCUCAGGGUCAGGCAG